rnacentral:rRNA from 1 species
GAUGAACGCUGGCGGCGUGCGUAAUACAUGCAAGUAGAACGCUGAAGCUUGGUGCUUGCACCGAGCGGAUGAGUUGCGAACGGGUGAGUAACGCGUAGGUAACCUGCCUCUUAGCGGGGGAUAACUAUUGGAAACGAUAGCUAAUACCGCAUAAAAGUCGACAUCGCAUGAUGUUGACUUGAAAGGUGCAAAUGCAUCACUAAGAGAUGGACCUGCGUUGUAUUAGCUAGUUGGUGAGGUAACGGCUCACCAAGGCGACGAUACAUAGCCGACCUGAGAGGGUGAUCGGCCACACUGGGACUGAGACACGGCCCAGACUCCUACGGGAGGCAGCAGUAGGGAAUCUUCGGCAAUGGGGGCAACCCUGACCGAGCAACGCCGCGUGAGUGAAGAAGGUUUUCGGAUCGUAAAGCUCUGUUGUAAGAGAAGAACGAGUGUGAGAGUGGAAAGUUCACACUGUGACGGUAACUUACCAGAAAGGGACGGCUAACUACGUGCCAGCAGCCGCGGUAAUACGUAGGUCCCGAGCGUUAUCCGGAUUUAUUGGGCGUAAAGCGAGCGCAGGCGGUUAGAUAAGUCUGAAGUUAAAGGCUGUGGCUUAACCAUAGUACGCUUUGGAAACUGUUUAACUUGAGUGCAGAAGGGGAGAGUGGAAUUCCAUGUGUAGCGGUGAAAUGCGUAGAUAUAUGGAGGAACACCGGUGGCGAAAGCGGCUCUCUGGUCUGUAACUGACGCUGAGGCUCGAAAGCGUGGGGAGCAAACAGG